GAUGGGUGUCAAAUAACCAUAGCGCUUGUUCGGAUUUCUAUCUUUUCUCUUCUUGGGUCUAGCUCCUGUGUAGAGCUUGCCCACCUCUACCACAGCUCUCCCAUUUUCCUAACGCUUUCCUGGGCGGGGUUUCUGGGCCCCGCCCACCGAGGGCCCGCCCAGUAGCCGCCCCGGGGCGGGGCUCCCCUCGGCUCCCGACUGCCCUUUUCCCCUGCGGUCUCUGCCCCGGCUGCUGUGUCUCUACCGAGCUCCGGACACGUGCAGGAGCAUCCAGCCGUGAACUUUCAAGCAGAUGCAGCCCCAGGAUGACUCAAAAGUAGGGCAUCCUUGGCCCUCCUGAAGAGAUGAAAUUAGUGGCAAGUGGACCAUCUAUCUGUAUGGCGUUAUCAGAUGCCUUUGCCUGAGUGAGAAACCUUCCUCCAUUGGGACCCCAGAGGUCUGAUGGCCCUUUGUGACAUCCAAAUAAGUAAUACUGAAGCCUACCAGGCUUCGCUGUCCAUGGGAUUCUCCAGGGAAGAAUACUGGAGUGGAUUGCUGUUCCCUUCUCCAGAGGAUCUUUCCGACCCAAGGAUCAAACCCGCAUCUCCUGCACUGCAGGCAGACUCUUUACCAUUUGAGCUACAGGAAAGUCCUGAAGAUGUAACAGUGCCUAACUAUUUGAAAUCCUUAAAACACACAUGGUUGAUGGUGGUUGCCUUUAAGGGAAUAGCAGUUGGGGAAAACUUCUGCGUGUGCUUUGAAUUUUAUUAUAUGUAUUCCUUAUUCAAAAACUCCCCCCAAUUUUUAAAUUUAUUUUUGGCUGUGUUGCAUGGCUUGCGGUAUCUGCCUGAUCAGGGAUCAAACCCAGGACCCCUGCAGUGGAAGCAUGGAAUUCUCUAACUACUGGACCACCAGGAAAUUCCCCAAAAUUUUAAGCCCAUUUCCCUUCCCUUUCAACUGCUAAAAGAGCUGCUGGUUAACAAUUUUCUGUUUUUUAAAUAGCCUAAAGGUUUGAAAUGACCUGCUGCUGCUUAGUUGCUUCAGUCAUGUCCAACUCUGUGCAGCCCUAGGGACUGUAGCCCACCAGGCUCCUCUGUCCAUGGAAUUCUCCAGGCAAGAGUACUGGAGUGGGUUGCCCCAUUACCUUCUCCAGGGGAUCUUCUUAACCCAGGGAUUGAACCCUCGUCACCUGCAUUGCAAUCAGAUUCUUCACCACUGAGCCACCAGGGAAGCCCCUCCAGGGCAUUUUAUCUAUUUAAAAAGUAGAUGGUGAACUGCCAGGAGACCACAGCCUUGCUGAAGGCAGUCCAAUAUAAUGCUCAAACAGGCAAGCUUCUUAAUCUCUUAUGUAAAAUAAAAGUAAAGGUACUUUACUCUUAAAAUUAUAUUAUCAGCUGCUUAGUGAUUGUGUGGUGUGAAAAUAUAUGUCCUCAACCAAUAUGACUCCUCUGCUCAAAACUUUAGAAAGAUUAGCUUUAUGGAGAUUGUAUCCUGGUGUUUAAAGUUUUAUUCCAAACUUGUCACUUAGACCUUUCAAAGUCUCAGCAGAAAUUCUUGCUUUGUAGCCUCUGUCAUCACUGGUAUACCACGCCCACUCCUAAGAAACCCAAAUGUGAAUAGAACUCUUGAUCCAUCUCUUCUCAUAGCCAGGCCCAUCUUGAGGCCAGCCUCCUUGUCCAGUCUUCAUCAGACUGGGAUUCUCAAAAGCUGAUAAUCUGUCUUAUCCAUCAUUGUAUGUGUGCAUGCGUGCUAAGCUGCUUCAGUCAUGUCUGACUCUUUGCAACCCUGUGGACUGUAGCCUGCUGGGCUCCUCUGUCCAUGGGAUUCUCCAGGCAAGGAUACUGGAAUGGGCUGCCAUGCCCUUCUCCAGGGAAUUUUCCCGACCCAGGGAUCGAACCACCCAUCAUGAAAUAGACAUUUGACGACUGAAAUCUUGUAUUACCUUUGGUUUCCAGUGUGUCUUUUUGCUGUUGACCUACUAAGCAGAUCCUCAAUAAAUAAUUACUCAACUGAAAAAGUUUGCCUUUCCUUUGAACAAUCACCAAAUUGCAUUAAUAGUCUGUACAAAAGCAUGGUAUGUAUAUAUCUGAAAUAAGCAUGCAUUCAUACUUCUGAAUCCAGAAAAGCAGAGCUGCUUUCAUCUAAGAUCUGGGGAGAACAUAAAGUGAAGUCUUAGCCAAAAUCAGUUGGAAUCAAAGACUCAUAGAGUAGACGUGAAGGAGGACCCAAUAUUCACUGAACAAAUUUCAUUCCAAAGUUAACAAUGUAGUAGCCUUAGGGAUGCCCCAGUUCUUGAUGUAUUCUACCAAAUGCCUUCUCAAAGCCUGUAGAAAAUCAUGCAACAUAAUGGAGAUGUGGGAGUACAGUUCCACUCUUCACAAUGGCUAUUUAAAAUUUUUCCUUUGUGUAACUCUAGCCCUUUCCAUAGAUGGCUUAGUCACAGAAAACUUAAGUCACCUGACUAAUUCCUAAUGAAAAUUCAGCACCAUCCUCUCCAUACCUAUUACAAGAAAGAGAUGUCUCCUCCAGAACUCAUCCUUUGAGUAAUGUCCAAUAUGAAUCUUUCCUUCUGUUGCUGCCUUUCCCAACCAAUCCUUUCCUAAUUUAACUCUUCUGCAAACAUUUUAAUGGCCCAAAAUUCUCCUGUAGUAAAUCAAAUCUUCCCCAACCCUGAUUUCUUUUCAUAGCCAGUUAUUCCACAUUUGGUAGUUUGUUUUACACUUUUCACAUACUAAGCACCUCCCAUCUGACAUCCUCUCCCACUGAACUGGAAGUCCCUGUUGCCAAAGCUUUUGUAGAUGUUUUUAGUCCUAGGCUUGACCUCUUGGUAGCAUUAGGCCCUGUUGAUCGUUUAGUCCUUUGAGUACAUUGGCUGUCAAGGCAGUACAAUUUCUGUGGCUUCCCCUCUACUUUUUUCCCUCAUCAGCAUGGUCUCUUGCCAUUUAACUACCAGAUUAGUUUCUCAAGGCUUGGUCCUAAGGUUUCUCUUUUUACCAUAGGUUUACCUAAGGUUUCUCUCUUAAUCUCCAGUUCAUCUAACUCUCCUUCAUUUAUAUUAACUUGAAUUUGCCACUAACCCACACCCUUUUCUCCUGAGAUCAAGGUCAAAUAUAACUCCUUUGAAGCUGAUGCCAAACUGAAGCCUUACUGCCCCCACCUCCCAUUCUCAAUAGCACUGCUGACAGUUGUCAUUCUUACAUUGUACUUCUCCAUC
ensembl:lncRNA